rnacentral:rRNA from 1 species
CCUACGGGUGGCAGCAGUCGAGAAUCAUUCACAAUGGGGGAAACCCUGAUGGUGCGACGCCGCGUGGGGGAAUGAAGGUCUUCGGAUUGUAAACCCCUGUCAUGUGGGAGCAAAUUAAAAAGAUAGUACCACAAGAGGAAGAGACGGCUAACUCUGUUCCAGCAGCCGCGGUAAUACAGAGGUCUCAAGCGUUGUUCGGAAUCACUGGGCGUAAAGCGUGCGUAGGCUGUUUCGUAAGUCGUGUGUGAAAGGCGCGGGCUCAACCCGCGGACGGCACAUGAUACUGCGAGACUAGAGUAAGGGAGGGGGAACCGGAAUGCUCGGUGUAGCAGUGAAAUGCGUAGAUAUCGAGAGGAACACUCGUGGCGAAGGCGGGUUCCUGGACAUUAACUGACGCUGAGGCACGAAGGCCAGGGGAGCGAAAGGGAUUAGAUACCCCGGUAGUC